AAUCUGCAAAACUACCAAGGAGGAAGAGGAAAUGCGCGGCUGACUCUUAGAAGGUGGUGGUUUUCCCUCCUCAGUCGCCUGGGCUGGGUUUCCCUCAGUUCCAGGUCAGCUAGAGGCGCCACCUUCCCCAAGGGAGAGAGAGAACCGAGAGACCCCCGUGAACUCCCAAGGCGACCCGGCGAGUGGGGAAGCCAGAGCCCAGCAGGACCUGUGGUUCUCCCCUUAUCUGGGGCCUGUUCCUGCUGACACGGGUCGGGUCGCAGCCUCCUGCUUUGCACCGUCACCGAGGCUCCGGCUCGGCUCCGGGUCUCCCUGCUCCACAGUGGGCCUGUGCGCUCAGCUCGCCAGUGUUUCUGCAUUUGUUGAUUGAGCCAAAGAGGACUGACUACGUGUGACAUAAGUUGGAUCGAGUCACUGUGGAAGCAGAGGUCCUAAUAUCUACCUGGGAAAAGAGAAGACAUGUGGACGUACCCACACGGAUCCUGGCACACCACCGUUGGCGCUGGCAUUAUUACUACUGCCCACGAUGAAGGCGGGUUUGGACCACCAGACAGCAUUGCUGAUGGGUCCCUGUGUCCUCUGCGGAAUCACAGAUACUCUGAUGGUCUCAUAAGAAACAAGCUGAAAAAUGGGCCUUCCUUGAGGAAGCCGGCAGCAUAGAAUAAAAUGAAACCGCUGA